rnacentral:tRNA from 13 species
UGGCAGCGGUGGGAUUCGAACCCACGCCUCGAAAGACUGGUGCUUGAAUCCAGCGCCUUAGACCACUCGUCCACGCUACC